GGUGGGGUGGCUGAGCGGUUGAAAGCGGCAGUCUUGAAAACUGUUGUGGGCGUUACGUCCACCGAGAGUUCGAAUCUCUCCCCCACCG
rnacentral:tRNA from 1 species